rnacentral:rRNA from 1 species
UACAGAGGUCCCAAGCGUUGUUCGGAUUUACUGGGCGUAAAGGGUGCGUAGGUGGUGAGGUAAGUCUGAUGUGAAAUCUCCGAGCUUAACUCGGAAAUGGCAUUGGAAACUACCUUACUUGAGGGUUUGAGGGGGGACUGGAAUACUUGGUGUAGCAGUGAAAUGCGUAGAUAUCAAGUGGAACACCAGUGGCGAAGGCGAGUCCCUGGAAAAUACCUGACACUGAGGCACGAAAGCUAGGGGAGCAAACAGG